rnacentral:rRNA from 1 species
CUCAGAUUGAACGCUGGCGGCAUGCCUUACACAUGCAAGUCGAACGGCAGCGGGGACUUCGGUCCGCCGGCGAGUGGCGAACGGGUGAGUAAAGUAUCGGAACGUACCUUUCAGUGGGGGAUAACGUAGCGAAAGUUACGCUAAUACCGCAUAUUCUGUGAGCAGGAAAGCAGGGGAUCGCAAGACCUUGCGCUGAUUGAGCGGCCGAUAUCAGAUUAGCUAGUUGGUGAGGUAAAGGCUCACCAAGGCGACGAUCUGUAGCGGGUCUGAGAGGAUGAUCCGCCACACUGGAACUGAGACACGGUCCAGACUCCUACGGGAGGCAGCAGUGGGGAAUUUUGGACAAUGGGGGCAACCCUGAUCCAGCCAUGCCGCGUGAGUGAAGAAGGCCUUCGGGUUGUAAAGCUCUUUCGGCCGGGAAGAAAUCGUAUGGGUUAAUACCCUGUGCGGAUGACGGUACCGGCAUAAGAAGCACCGGCUAACUACGUGCCAGCAGCCGCGGUAUACGUAGGGUGCGAGCGUUAAUCGGAAU